UACGUACGGGGCAAGCGUUGUCCGGAUUUAUUGGGCGUAAAGAGCGUGUAGGCGGCCAGGUAGGUCUGCUGUGAAAACUCGAGGCUUAACCUCGAGAUGUCGGCGGAAACCAUCUGGCUAGAGUCCGGAAGAGGAGAAUGGAAUUCCCGGUGUAGCGGUGAAAUGCGCAGAUAUCAGGAGGAACACCGGUGGCGAAGGCGGAUCUCUGGGCCAUUACUGACGCUGAGGAGCGAAAGCGUGGGGAGCGAACAGG
rnacentral:rRNA from 1 species